rnacentral:lncRNA from 1 species
CAUAAUUGCGAAGAGAAUAUUUACUUGUCUUAUAGUAGAAAAUUUAGAACAAAUUAGUAAUGGGAGGCAUCCAUGCAACAUAAAAAAUAAAUAAAACAGUAAUAUACCUACGUUCAACUCGUAAUAAAUUGCAAAGUGCUCGAUUUUGUGGAACACACAUCACAUGAACUAAAUUUGUUCAUGCAUUAACCACACAACAGAGCCGUAAUCAAGAUGAGGUUGGAAAAGUGAAGGCUUUAUAUUAUAAAGCCUUGCAGCGAAAAUUAAUUCACAAUUCUUAGGAUUCGACAAGAAUUCAUUGCGCGUCAUCCGCUUAGAAAUCCAUUUUAAAUCUCCAUAGAGACGUAAACAUACUCAAUUGUAUUAAAAUCAGUAUUACAGUGGAAUGAUACUAAACUGUAUAGCAUUUGAGAUAUCAUUUAUACAAAAUGAUAAAUAGUAAAUAGCAAGGGACCCAUUGUACUUCUCCUGCAAGUGACUGUAAUCUAACAAACUAUUACCGUUGACUGAAAAAAUAUGAUAUUCUCAGACGGAGUUAGAUACACAUGAAAAAAGCGUAAACUUGAAUCAUCAAAACCAACAUGAACAAAUUAGUUUCUUUAGAAUAAUAGAAUGAGAGACCACAUCGAACAUAAUCAUCAACCUUAUUUGAGGUCUAUACUUUAUUUAUGUAUUAAUAAUGUGUUGUUAAUGUUUCUUCAUCCCCUUCUCCAGAUCAUCAUGCCACGAGUAAUGCCAGCGGCAUUGCGAUGUUUGUGCAACACGCAGAAGGGGCACAGAUGUAAAAGGAAGACAAGGCACCCAACAAGAAUAUGCCACCAACAUCGGAGAAACUUCGCCGACGAUGCCGCAAUGGAAGCUUUCAUCGAUCGCCGACCUCGUCGCUGUACUGCAUUGACGCUGAAAGCCGCUCAAUGCAAACGCAAUGGCAUAUUCGUUUUCGGCUACGCAUUGCAUGAUUACUGCAUGCAACAUUAUCUCAUACAACAGGCUGCCAUAUGAUCCGGUGGUCACCGUCUGAAUCGUGAGCUUUUCCAGUCUUUCCUCUCGUCAUCUCCAGUCUUCUUCUUCGCCACUACACCUUCAUCUACACAUCUUCGCCAUCUACACAGACAUCUACAUAUCCAGUCAUCAUAGUCGCCAUCACCAACAUCACCAUCAACAUAGAACUACUUCAUCUCAGCAUUCAUCAUUAUUAUGUUGUCUCUUCCAUGGUGUGAUCCAUGUGAUGAUGAUGCAGAAAGAAGUCUGUGUUUGAAGUCACCAACUACUCUUCUGGGUCCUACCUGACACCUGAACUGUGAUGAUUCACGCAACAGGUUGGCACUGGGUAGAUGAUAAGCAGGUUCUUAGAGUCAACGGGAGGUAAGGAAGUCAUACUUUUAUGUAGCAUUAAUGCCUGCAAAUGCAAUGACAUUUUCUCUAUCAGUGGUACAAAAAAAAAUUAUUUGGGAUUUAUAUAUUACACAUUGGACACGAUUGGAAGAGAGUUAAAACAGGAGGGUUUAAUGGGAUCACAUUUCCUCUAUCAAUUGAACAAAAUUAUAAGAAAUAUUUAGAAUAUAUAGAUUACACAUUGGACACAGUUUAGCAGGAUUAGUAAAACAUGAUGGGUAAGAUAGGAGGGGGUUGAAGUUCUUACCUAUUUUCCAGACUAGUUAUAAUGACAAAGGUCAGACCAUUUCAUUUCAUGUCAUGUCAUUCCUACAUUUCAUUUCUACAUUUCAUUCCUACAUUUCUUGAUAUAAUUGUAAUUCAACAUUCUAUAUUCUAACAAUGCAAUUUGUAUAUAGGCAGAAACUAAACCUAAGAAAAUAAGCAAAACGGGAUAAAAUGAUAAUAAAGUCCAUGAUCAAAAUAAAUAUCCCAAACAAGGGCAGAUUGAUCCAAAUUCCCUACUGGUUCCUCCAUUCCACAGAGGAUUUUUAAUUGGUUUCAGAGUGUCUAAGUCACUAUGUGGAAGGAAUCCAAAUCAUAGAGGGCAUUACAUGUGUACCCUUGAUUCAAAAUGCAGAGAGUCAUGGACAAAGUCAUGGACAAAGUCAUGUACAAAUUCAUGAGAAAGGCUCCUUCGUGUACUGGCCCUCCGUUUGACCUCCCAUCCCGGAGCGGUGGGAACUGUAGCCCAGAUUGGCAUGAAAGCAAUUGCUUUAUGCAGUCUGGUUUGCACAAAGAUGUAGCAUUUUCAUAUUCAGCUAUCCUCCAAGUUUUGCCACACCUCCUUUAUAAGAUGUAACAUAUACAUGUAGAACAUCUUAGAAGAGUUCACCAUCAUUUUUUUUACUCUUGAUGAAAGAGGGAUGAUGAAUUUGACUGUAUUGAUAUACAUGUAUAAAUCUUUAUCAAGAAUUAUCAUUAUUAUUGGUACCAGUUGUCAUGGUAAUCUUGGCUACCUCAUCAGUUCAGGGCAAUUCAUGCUUGAGUAUUUGAUGCCAAGCGAUGAUGGAGUAUAUCAGAAUCAUAUCAGAAGUAUGGCUGUCAUUUAGUUGCACCUUGUAAAUCACGUCUGACGUCAUGUCUGAACUUUCAGUUUACCCUGAGCUGGUAUAAUAAUACUACAGCAUUUGUUAUGCGCCAUCAAUCUAGUAAACUAUUCUAAGGCACAGAGGGAGACUAUUACCCUGGCUUUAGCACGGCUGCCAUUACAACGCUCUAGCAUUUCAAGGAAUUAAUUCCUUCCAGGUACCCAUUUACAUCACAUGGGCUGAGUGUGGCAAAUGUAGAUCAAUGUCUUGCCAAAGGACAUUGUUGUACAUGAUGUUUAGUGGUCAUUGAUACCAACAAUCUGUAAUGCAUGUAUGCUAGGAGACCAGUCUGAAACCACUGCCUUUUCUAUUGCAAUGAUUUAUGCCAACAGAAAUGGCAUUUAAUAGAUAGAACUCCCACUUUUUCUUCCUCUAUCAAAAGCAUCCACAUUGCAAUUUUUUUAAUAUUAAUUUCAAUUUGUUCAUAAUGCUUGACUGAAAUAUAUAUGUUAUUCUGACAAAAGCUUCAAAAUAGGAUGGGUCAUAUAUGCUUGAUAUGUUCCCCCAAGGAGGCGAGUUGGCUCAGUCGGUACAGUGUCUGCCUGUCGAACCAAAGAUCUUGGGU